UUAUUAUCUUGUUAGCUAUUUGUUGAUUUUAAUAUACAGUAAAAGUGAACUUAAAAUUAUCAGAAGUCUUGGGGCUGAAACAAUCUGAACCUAUUCUCAGACUUGAAAUGGGUAAGAAGCCUGGCACACUGGCAUGGAGCCAGGUGUGGCAUGUGAUUGCCUAGUUGGCCACUUUUGGAAAACUGUACUGGCACUGUGGGAUGACUCAAACACUGGGUUAAAGUGCCCAAUGUUAAUGCUCAUCAGACUCUAGAAAGGAUCUGGGUAAAAGGAGUGGGUAAAAAAAGAUGUUAAAAUAUUUCCAAUAUUAAUUUUCAUUAAUUUUUAGCAAAAGUAUUA
rfam:Mustela putorius furo unplaced genomic scaffold scaffold00038, whole genome shotgun sequence.